GAAGCACGCCGGGGCAGGCGUGCGGACGAGGGCGCAGUACCCGCACAGCGACAAGACUGACCACA
rnacentral:ncRNA from 1 species